CUUAUCUCCCUUUCCAUUUCUUCUUUUCCACGUGUAAAACAAACCAGAUCAUUACACUGAUCACAAAAUGGUCACAAAACAGAUCGUUAUUUCUCCCCGUUUCCCCUUUCUGCUCACUUGGCCAGCUCCACAGGCAGCAUCCUUGGGUAGAUUUGAACCCCCUAAUCUUCUCAGCCACUCCUUUUGCUUGGGAGACCUCACUGCCUGGAGGGACACACUCGGCUCCUUGGCUGCAAAUACAGCAGGGGUGAUACUGGUCUGCCAAGCAAAGGAGACUGUGAGCAAGGAGCCAAUAGUAGCUCGUUAAUAAGGUUUGUUUUGUAAAAAGGCCCAUUUGAGUUAGCGGUUAAAAUGCUCUCUCUUCCCUUGACUUCUGCUGGAGUAAGCCACUGACUUUCUGUAAUAAUUUUUAUCUGUGUGUCAAGAAUUUAACCUCGAAAGCAUAACUGGACUGCAUUAAUUGAGCUUCAUCUGAUCUCCAGCUGAACUGAUGGUCAACAAACAAACAGAGCUUUCUCAGGAUGGGGUUCCCUUGCAUUUAUGUCGUCCACAGCACUUUCACCUCCCGGGCAGAAAGGUGUUCCCCAGACCUUCUGUGGUGCACUUUCUGGGAGCCAUGAAUCCCCUCCUUACAGCUUAUUUGUGUCAACCAUAAAAUAUCCCCAAGCCUCUUCUUCCAGGGAAUGUGGGGGUCAGAAGAGGUCCUUUUGGACUGUGCAGCAUCUUCCAAACAUCCACAGGGUCUGGCACCUGGAGUAAAGGGCUCAUUUGCUUUUUAGCUAUUGGUGCUAAUGAUGUCUCUGCAGGCAACCUGGUUUGACUCCGAGAAUGCAGGUGGGGUUUGUAACAGUAGCGCUUUAGAAGACCUUCCCUUUUGACCUCCUGAUGAAAUUAGCCCUGGUCUGGCUGUGCACAGAGCAUCCCCUCUGAGCACAGCUGCAACGAACAAGCAGGAAUUUCUGAGACAGCACAAACUUCCACAAGAUUAUCAAAUGACAGCAGGUUGGAAGUAUGUAAUGAGCAGCAUGGGUUCACUGACUAAGCAUCCCUAAAGGGACUGGUGCUUAAUC